rnacentral:rRNA from 1 species
GAUGAACGCUGGCGGCGUGCCUAACACAUGCAAGUCGAGCGUGAACCCUGCGAAUGAAACUUCGGUCGAUUUUGCAGGGGGAAAGCGGCGGACGGGUGAGUAACGCGUAGGUAACCUGCCCCAUACUGAGGGAUAGCCUCGGGAAACCGGGAUUAAUACCUCAUAACACCGUAUAUUCGCAUGGAUGUGCGGUCAAAGAUUUAUCGGUAUGGGAUGGGCCUGCGUCUGAUUAGCUGGUUGGUGGGGUAACGGCCUACCAAGGCGACGAUCAGUAGCCGACCUGAGAGGGUGAUCGGCCACAUUGGAACUGAGACACGGUCCAAACUCCUACGGAGGCAGCAGUGGGGAAUAUUGCACAAUGGGCGAAAGCCUGAUGCAGCAACGCCGCGUGAGCGAAGAAGGCCUUUGGGUCGUAAAGCUCUGUCGGGUAGGAAGAUAAUGACGGUACUACCCGAGGAAGCCCCGGCUAACUACGUG